UACGUAGGGCGCAAGCGUUGUCCGGAAUUAUUGGGCGUAAAGAGCUCGUAGGCGGUUUGUUGCGUCGGCUGUGAAAUCCCGAGGCUCAACCUCGGGUCUGCAGUCGAUACGAGCAAACUAGAGUGUUGCAGGGGAGACUGGAAUUCCUGGUGUAGCGGUGAAAUGCGCAGAUAUCAGGAGGAACACCGGUGGCGAAGGCGGGUCUCUGGGCAACAACUGACGCUGGAGGAGCGAAAGCGUGGGGAGCGAACAGG
rnacentral:rRNA from 1 species